rnacentral:rRNA from 1 species
AUUGAACGCUGGCGGUAUGCCUUACACAUGCAAGUCGAACGGCAGCACGGUUGCUGGUAGCUGUUGCGGAGUGGCGAUCGGGGGAGUAAUAGAAAGGCACCUGUCUUUACGUUUUGGUUAGCCCUGCGAUAGCCGGACUAAUACUGCUACCGCACUACGGCUGCAAGUGGGAGCCGGUCGUCCUCGGAGCUAGCGGGAUGGCCUGUGCCGAUGUCGGAUUAGCUAGUUGGCGGGGUAAAGGCCUACCAAGGCGACGAUCAGUAGCUGGUCUGAGAGGAUGACCAGCCACACUGGGACUGAGACACGGCCCAGACUCCUACGGGAGGCAGCAGUGGGGAAUUUUGGACAAUGGGCGAAAGCCUGAUCCAGCAAUGCCGCGUGUGUGAAGAAGGCCUUCGGGUUGUAAAGCCCUUUUGUCGGGAAAGAAAACCUUCGGCCUAAUACGGUGGGGGUAUGACGGUACCGGAAGAAUAAGCACCGGCUAACUACGUG